rnacentral:lncRNA from 1 species
AGGGGUUCGGCUUGCGGAGGCGGAGGAGGGGCUCGGCGGCUGGCUCGAAAAAAGAACGAAAAAACAAAAAAAAAGAACGGAAGAAACGAAGAGGAGAGAGAAAGAGGAAAGAGAAAAAGUAAUAAGGGUAUUUUGGUCAGUUUACUGAAAAAACGGACCGAAUCUGCAAAAAUGAAAAAAGUGACCCGAUUUUGCAAAAGCCAAAAAUAAGUGGAUUUUUUAUGCAAAAAGGCCUAGAUUUUAUAAUGAUUUUAAAAAAUUAUGAAAUUUAUUUUUUAAAAUUUUCAAAUAUUAUAGAUUAUAUUUAACGGAGUGGUCGUCGAUUCCUAAACUCUAUUAUCGAAAGCAACUUAUGAGUACAAAGGACUCCAUAUUCAUAAGAGUAUAGUAGUAUUACUCUCUCUAUAUAUAGAUAAAGCAGUACUGCUGUGCUCUUAGGAGCACGGAGGCCUCCCUGUUCCUGAGUUGUUUUCGAUGAUAGAAUUUUCGAAUCGACGCUCCGUUCCGUUAGACUUGAUCUAGCGUAUUUGAAGUUUCUAGAAAAUAAUUUUGCGAUUUUUCAAUACCAUUUACCUAGUGAUUGAAAGAAUUCAAAAUCAAUAAUUUUUAUUGGUUGAUAACUCCUGUUUUCAAGUUUAGCAGUAUAAAAGUAUUCAACUCAGAUGAAAUUUUGAUCCAAAUUUUUUAUACUAUGUACAAUAGGAUCAAUAUUUCUAAUCGAAGAUUUUAGUGCUAUAUCACUAUUUUUUAUAGAAUUUUUAUUUUUAGCCGUUGAUGUUAAAUCCGUUCGAUUGCUUGGUAAAUAAUAUCAAAAAAUCACAAAAUUUAUUUUCUAGAAACAUCAAAUAUGUUAGAUCAAGUCUAACAUAGCGGAUCGUCAAUUCGAAAAUUCUAUCAUCGAAAUUGACUUAGGAGCACAGAGUCCUCCGUUCUUUAUUAAAAUUUUUAUUUAUGAUCAAAUCUCGGU